rnacentral:rRNA from 1 species
GAACGCUGGCGGCGUGCUUAACACAUGCAAGUCGCGCGUGAAAGGACUUCGGUCCGAGUAAAGCGGCGCACGGGUGAGUAACGCGUGGAUGAUCUACCCAUGAGUUGGGAAUAACGGCUGGAAACGGUCGCUAAUACCGAAUACGCUCCGAUUUCAUCUUCGGGGGAAAGGUGGCCUCUGCUUGCAAGCUACUGCUCAUGGAUGAGUCCGCGUCCCAUUAGCUAGUUGGUGGGGUAACGGCCCACCAAGGCGACGAUGGGUAGCCGGUCUGAGAGGAUGACCGGCCACACUGGGACUGGAACACGGCCCAGACUCCUACGGGAGGCAGCAGUGGGGAAUAUUGCGCAAUGGGCGAAAGCCUGACGCAGCGACGCCGCGUGAGGGAAUGAAGGUCCUCGGAUCGUAAACCUCUGUCAGGAGGGAAGAACCGCCACGGUGCUAAUCAGCCGUGGUCUGACGGUACCUCCAAAGGAAGCACCGGCUAACUCCGUGCCAGCCGCCGC